UAGGGAAUCUUCGGCAAUGGACGAAAGUCUGACCGAGCAACGCCGCGUGAGUGAAGAAGGUUUUCGGAUCGUAAAACUCUGUUGUUAGAGAAGAACAAGGACGUUAGUAACUGAACGUCCCCUGACGGUAUCUAACCAGAAAGCCACGGCUAACUACGUGCCAGCAGCCGCGGUAAUACGUAGGUGGCAAGCGUUGUCCGGAUUUAUUGGGCGUAAAGCGAGCGCAGGCGGUUUCUUAAGUCUGAUGUGAAAGCCCCCGGCUCAACCGGGGAGGGUCAUUGGAAACUGGGCGACUUGAGUGCAGAAGAGGAGAGUGGAAUUCCACGUGUAGCGGUGAAAUGCGUAGAUAUAUGGAGGAACACCGGUGGCGAAGGCGGCUCUCUGGUCUGUAACUGACGCUGAGGCUCGAAAGCGUGGGGAGCAAACAGG
rnacentral:rRNA from 1 species